rnacentral:rRNA from 1 species
UAUAGUUUCCAUGUCAGUUUUUUGCUACUUGGAUAUCCACGGUAAUUCUAGAGCUAAUACAUGCGUCAAGGCCCAACUGCUUCGGCGGACGGGCUGUAUUUAUUAGAUCUGAACCAGCCGCCUUCGGGUGUUUUUUGGUGAAUCAUGAUAACUUUGCGAAUCGUAUGCUUCGGCGACGAUGAAUCAUUCAAGUUUCUGCCCUAUCAAGUGGCGAUGGUAGGGUAUUGGCCUACCAUGCUAGUGACGGGUGACGGAGAAUUAGGGUUCGAUUCCGGAGAGGGAGCCUGAGAGACGGCUACCACA